AACAACAAAAUCCAUCCUAAGGUAAUAUUUGGGGCUGGAAACACAGUGAUAGAACAUUUGCUUAGUGUGAGCAGGGCUCUGGUUCAAUCGUCAGCACCAUAUAAAUAAAUAAGUUGACUAAUUAAUUAUUUAAUAACAUGGGACUAGGCUGUGCCCUUUCCUAAUGUUCUUAGCAGACUUCUGUUCUCAAGGGCUUGUGGAGAUGCAGUCUGGCAGGAGGGCCCCCUGCAGCACCCCUACACACACACACCACACACACACUGAGAAGGACCCCACACACAGUACCCAGACCUUUUGGGGGGCAGAAAGAGAAGGCUCCUUUCUAAAUUCGCUUUCUCUUGGUUGGAAUCAUCCUUCAUUAGGAAGGUGGGGAGCGGGUGCCCUGCCCAUGGAGAGACCUCCCUGAUGUGAAAGAAGGACUUGGACUUCUCUGCCCUGUGGUACACAUUGAAAAGCAGAAGUCUGUUCCUGCUUGGCUGAACUUUAUGAAAUACUCAAGCCUGACUGGAUCCCGGAACUCAGGAGCCGGGGACAGAUGGAUCCCGAUCAUAAGUUCAAGAUGGCCUGGAAAGAAAGUACAUGUUGUGACCAUUGGGAUAUUUCACAAAACAAGCACUCAGCCUUGGAGAAUCCCAUCCUGCCUGCAGCCACACUGCUAGUGCACAGACACAAACUCAUUUGCUUCACAGCCCAUUGCAUUGCAAGAUGGCAUGCUGGAUCCCUUCCUGAGAGGCUGUCCAAACAGCAACAGCUCGUGUGGAUAAUUCUGGCCUGCUGCAUAUAGAUUAGACCCCACAGAACCUUCUGAGGCAUCUUCAAAUGCCUACACUUUGGGCUGAGCUGGCUUUCUCGGGAGAACGAGUCGUGUUAGGUGUGUACUGAGGCUGGGGCUCACGUGGCAUGCCCCCCACCAACCUGCAAAGCUAAGGCUGCAGGAGGGCAGGGCUGCUGA